CGUAACAAGGUCUCCGUUGGUGAACCAGCGGAGGGAUCAUUACUGAGUUUACGCUCUAUAACCCUUUGUGAACAUACCUAUAACUGUUGCUUCGGCGGGUAGGGUCUCCGUGACCCUCCCGGCCUCCCGCCCCCGGGCGGGUCGGCGCCCGCCGGAGGAUAACCAAACUCUGAUUUAACGACGUUUCUUCUGAGUGGUACAAGCAAAUAAUCAAAACUUUUAACAACGGAUCUCUUGGUUCUGGCAUCGAUGAAGAACGCAGCGAAAUGCGAUAAGUAAUGUGAAUUGCAGAAUUCAGUGAAUCAUCGAAUCUUUGAACGCACAUUGCGCCCGCCAGCAUUCUGGCGGGCAUGCCUGUUCGAGCGUCAUUUCAACCCUCAAGCUCUGCUUGGUGUUGGGGCCCUACAGCUGAUGUAGGCCCUCAAAGGUAGUGGCGGACCCUCCCGGAGCCUCCUUUGCGUAGUAACUUUACGUCUCGCACUGGGAUCCGGAGGGACUCUUGCCGUAAAACCCCCAAUUUUCCAAAGGUUGACCUCGGAUCAGGUAGGAAUACCCGCUGAACUUAAGCAUAUC
rnacentral:misc_RNA from 1 species